GCUUCGGUAGCCUAGUGGUUAGAGCGUCCGCCUUGGAUGAGGUAGGUCGAGGGUUCGAAUCUCGGCCGAGUCA